UACGAAGGGGGCUAGCGUUGCUCGGAAUCACUGGGCGUAAAGCGCACGUAGGCGGACUCUUAAGUCAGGGGUGAAAUCCUGGAGCUCAACUCCAGAACUGCCUUUGAUACUGGGAGUCUUGAGUUCGGGAGAGGUGAGUGGAACUGCGAGUGUAGAGGUGAAAUUCGUAGAUAUUAGGAAGAACACCAGUGGCGAAGGCGGCUCACUGGAUCGGUACUGACGCUGAGACGCGAAAGCGUGGGGAGCGAACAGG
rnacentral:rRNA from 1 species